GGGGUUGAUUUUGGGAGCACUUUUCUUGCAGCCUAGCUUCCUGGUAAGGGUUGAGGAAACAGAUGGUCUAAAGGAUGCAUUAGGCAAUGAGAUACUGUAGCUUAAGGAUCAACUUGGUUCAAGACAGAAGGCUAUUUCUUUCUUUGAGCGUGACAAUUCAAGCAACUAUCCGAUACCCGCCUACAUUGAGAUACCCACGGAUGGAACUGAGGAGUGGGAAAUUGACGUGAAACAGCUCCAAAUUGAAAAGAAAGUGGCAUCUUGGUUCGUAUGAGGGGAUCUGCACAGAGGCACUUAUUGCAGUCAGGAUGUUGCUAUCAAAUUUCUCAAACCUGAGCGUGUAAACGUGGAGAUGCUUAGAGAAUUUUCUCAAGAAGUUUAUAUUAUGAGGUUAAUGCAAUUAAUUUGAAUCAUGAUGUGGAAUGCAUAGUAAGAUUGUCAAGGUUGCUGAUUUUGGAGUUGUCAGAGUACAGAUUGAAUCAGGGGUGAUGACAGCUGAAACAGGGACAUAUCGAUGGAUGGCUCCGGAGGUGAUUGAACACAAACCUUACAGUCACAAAGCAGACGUGUUCAGUUAUGGGAUAGUGAUAUGGGAACUUUUGACUGGUCAUAUCCCAUAUGCUUACUUGACUCCACUAUAAGCGGCUGUUGGCGUUGUUCAGAAGGGGCUUAGACCAAAGAUUCCAAAGAAGAUACAUCCAAAAGUGAAGGGACUUCUACAGAGAUGCUGGAACCAAGACCCAAAAGACAGACCAGAGUUUGAGGAAAUCAUAGAAAUGCUUCAACAUAUAAUGAUUGAGGUAAACGUCGUACCGUGAUGAUGAUCCGAGUAAAAAAAA